CUGGAGUAGGCCUGCAGGCCCCAAGCAAGGAAGGAAGGAGGCCGGCAGGCAGGCAGAGUGGCCCCCACAGUUCCCUGCAGCAGACCCUCUGCCACCCAGCCCAGCAUUUGCUAGGUGCGAGAACAAAGUAAGGAAAACACAAGACACUGCUUGCAGCUAGAGAGAUGAGGUGGUGGGAUGGUGGUUGUUUGGAGGCUGUAAAAAUUAUCAGUCUUCAAUAUAUACAAGAGUGAUACCCUUGCUGAUAUGAUGACUUCCCCACUGAAAUCUGGUACAAUGUCCCUAUUUAUAUGUAGGACGCCUUCGCACAUAACAGCAAACCUGCCCCCAUUUCCCCUGUGUGCCCCCAGAUGACCCUGAUUGGCAGUCUGGAAGACUGCAAGGGAGGAGGAACUAGCUGCAUGGGGUUCCUGCUUCAUAUGAAGGAAAGCCACGGCAGCCAAUUGAGAACGAGAGAGGACGGAACUUCCUACCCGAUCUCUGUUUUAGGCAGCUGGCACAAACCGGAGAACACAGCGGCAGAGUUUGGAUGACACUAUGCCACUUCAGGAUCCAAAGUUUUGGCAGUGAAACUCAAGUGCAACUGAAGGUUCAAAUUCAGGUUUGGGGUCAAGAACUGACCCGCAGUUCAGUGAUGAAACUGUGGGUUCAUGAAUUUGGAUGACCACAAACCUGAACCUCUGGCAUGGUUGCCUCCAGUUUGGCAUUAUAUUCAAAGGUGGCCAUAGUGUAUAUGUGGAACAGAAAUGAGUUACAUGCUCCUGAAUAACUUCUAAAGAAGAAAGUAACAUUGUUCAGUUUUAUUCAUGUAACUACAGCUGAGCCAAUGUUGGUGUAGGAAAUCAAGGCAUGGUAAAGAAAAGUUCUGCAUUUAGAGAAAUUGUAUGAUUUCAGAGAAAACAAGAGCAUUCAUUUGCGGGGAAAGAAAGUAAUUCAAACAAAUGCCAGUGUGACUUCUGGAUUAUAUACACUGACUUACAUAAAGGUCUAACUGCUCUGAAAACACAAACUAAAAAUAAUUAUUAAGUCACAAGCAGUAAAAAUGUGUUUUCUCUCAACUGCAGCCCUCAGUACCCAGUCAGGAGUAUUAUAAUGCUUAAUUAAUUGAAGGGAAACUAUUCACAUACAGUGAUAUCAGCCAUCC